UAUUGGAACAUACUGAAGUACACCGUUCUGUGAUUCUCAGGAGUUUAUUCCAAUUUAUUCCUCAUUCUUCCAUAUUCUCUCAAUAUUGAAAUAAUGUCUAUAAAAUGAAAGAAUUUUGUUCUACAAUAGAAUCAAGAAGACGUUUAUUUUUAAUGUCAACCAAAAAUCCAAAAUGGUUCAAUAAGUUGCGCCUAAACUGAAUUGGUGAACAUCAUUAUAAAAUAUCCAUUGGAAUGAUGUAGACUAAGUCGUACGUAGAAUUUUAGAUCUAUAGAUUUUUAAUAAUAGAAAUCAAAAUAUGAUCUUUGUCUAAAUACUGGAAUAACGGAAUUGUACUUUAUUUUAUUGAAUUGGAUCUAAUAUAACUU